UGUGGAGAAUAUCACUAUCAUUUUCUCAGUGGUUAGGGUCUCUUAAAUGUCUCUCUCUGGCUUUGACUCUGUUACAGAAAUUGGACACCAACUGACCUCAGCUUUGGGAUGGGCAGGAUUGAGAAGAGGCAGAUUGCAAAACUGCUUUGCAACGACCAGCACAACCGCCUAAAUCGGACCGAGCCAGGAGACCAAGGGGACCUCAUUCCCGGCAGCAGGGAUAUAUUCGUGCCAAGCAGGCACCUGGCCCAGAGGAGACAUUCACCUGUGUUGAAAAGGGUUGAGUGGAUAAAGUACAUAAUAAAGGUUAGUGCUCACCCCACCCCACUCCACCCCUUUGUCUGUCACUCACGGCUUCCCUGCUUCGGGAGAUUUUUACUCACCUGCCAGAGGAAGGUGUUCCUUUGGGUCGGACUGGCUUGGGCAACAAGGCCCUCCUCAGGAGACCUACCAAUGUGAGUUCUUCAGAAGUAGUUUCUGGGCAGGGCUUAGGCUCUCACGCGCCUAGUCCCGCCCCUGGCCUUGCCUUCUAGCUCAGUGGCGCAAGGGCAUAAAUGGCCGCUGUUCUCAGCCUUGCUGCAUUUUCACUGAAGACUUCUGACGGCAGCAUGAAGUUGGGGGGCUUCUUCCUCCUGGUGAUGCUCAUAACCCUCAGCUCGGAGGUCCAGCAGCUCCAGGCUGCGGUGAGACCACUCCGAGUUCUGGGUAAGUCCGGGCGCGAGGCGGCCGGUUCUCUGCAUGAGGGAGCUGGAGAGUGGGCCAGCGGGGACAGGGGUGCGCAGGAAGAAGAAGGAAGAAAGGCGAGAAGGAAUGAGACUCUAGUCCAGGAGCCACCUUGACAGCAGCACCUCUCUCCUUCUGCCUCCACUCUUCCCCCCUCCUUUCCUUGGGUCCUCCCUUCAACUGGACUUUCCAUUCUUCCCUUUUGCUGCCCCAUCAGCCACUUGCCAUCUUCCCCAGCAUCUCUCUCCCCCAUGGGUUUCUUGGUCUCUUGCUGCAAAUACAUCAGCUCACUAGAGAACAUAUUUUCUUAAUCAUGUCAUAUGUGAAUCAUCUUAAUUUCUGCUUUUCCUUUUACCCCCAACAUUCUCAAAGGAGCAGUCUUAACUCUCUGCCCUAACUUCCCCAUAACUCAUUCCUUCCCCUCCUGAAGAUUAUCACCAUUUCUGUCCCCAUCAGUCUCCAGAAACUUCGCUCCCAGGAUCAGCUAACAAAUCUCUUGACUCUCAGCAGAAAAAGUCUGUAAGCUCUGCAGCACCUAACAUUGUUCGCCACUCCAUCAAUCCCCAAACUUUUUUCUCUCCUGGCUUAUCGUCACUGUAGCUCCUACUUCUCUCUAAAGAUUCUUGGAUUCAACUCUUACUCCUUUUCUUCUUUGCUCUUCUCCCCCACACUAAACCAGUUGCCAAAUACUGUCCAUUCUUUGAAAUCGUCUCUUGCGUGUGCUCCUUCCUUUCCACUCCCCAUUGCCACAUGGCCCAUCUAGCCCUGACUACCACCUGCU